rnacentral:rRNA from 1 species
AUGUCAUGGAGGACCGUGACCUCGCCUUCAUGCUUGAAAGAAGCCCCGUCCUUGAGUUCGCGUCAGACCGGAGUGCGCGUUCGCCUCGUCAGCCGCAGCCUGCGCUGCGUUCAGCUCGGCCAUACCUUCUUGGAGAACAUCGACGUGGUGGAAGCCCCUCACCUGGAGAGGCUCUUCCAGUGGCAAACUGUUGCCGCGGCCGGUAGCCGCGUCAUGGCAAACCGCUCUUUCAGAAUCAAGAUUGGGAAUGCACCUAAGCUGCGUGUGCUGGGAUAUCUUAAGCCAGGAGAGCAAGAGCUGGUCGUCGUGGCUGGGAGCAAAGAGAACAUUGUCCCUAGUGUACAGAUUUUGGCCAUGGAGGUGCAAUUUGGUGUCCGCAAUGCUAUCAAGAAAGUGCCAGGUUUUCUGCGCUGUUUCCCCAACCUGGAGACGCUCCAUGUCCAGUCCCCCCGCAUACGUGAGGAGUCCACCAGCAAGGUCAAUCUCAAGUUCUGGCAGGAGGGCGGUCCCAUCAAAUGCAUCCUGCAGAGCAUCAAGAGGUUGUUCUUCUACGAGUUCCGAGGGUCGAGAAGCGAGCUUACUUUCCUCAAGUUCAUCGCGGAGAGAGGUCGGGUGCUGGAGCAGAUGGUGGUUGUGGUGGCCAGCGAGUGUUUCUCCUCGGGGGAUAACGUGAAUGCCAAGCUGAAGCCUCUGGCCGAUGCGAAAUGGAGCAGCAAAGCCUGCAAACUAGAGCUCUUCAGGAGCCCGCUCACAAAUGUUUCUGGUCCUCUUCACAACCACGAACUAGCUGCUGAUUUUGGGUUUGCUGACCCUUUUGAUCUCAAGUACUACUCCAAAGCAGAAAGGAUCUCUGUAAGUUGA